UACGGAGGGUGCAAGCGUUGUCCGGAUUUAUUGGGUUUAAAGGGUGCGUAGGCGGCCCGUUAAGUCAGUGGUGAAAGCCUCCAGCUCAACUGGAGAACUGCCAUUGAUACUGACGGGCUUGAGUACAGACGAGGUAGGCGGAAUUGAUUGUGUAGCGGUGAAAUGCAUAGAUACAAUCAAGAACUCCGAUUGCGUAGGCAGCUUACUAGGCUGUAACUGACGCUCAGGCGCGACAGCGUGGGGAGCAAACAGG
rnacentral:rRNA from 1 species